AUGAUUCAACAUCUUCAAAUUAAGAGACAGAAGUUCAGUUCGUCUCAGAAAGCAAUUUGGAUGAGCUGAAAAAAGACAAAUUUCCAUCUGAGUCUGUUUUACCACGCCCAAUAUGUCAGCUGAAGUUUCCUGUGGACAGUCUUGAACUACAUGCCAGCCUGUGUGGAGAACAACAUCUAUUGGAGUCUCCAGAUCACAGCUCUUUUAUGCACAAUGAUGAUUCUUGUAUUACUGACGAUACAACAGGCAAUUCAAGCUCUCCAC